CUCAUGAUAGAUUUCCACACUAAUAUUAAACCCACAAGGGCCACCAUCUCUCUGCCAUAGUCCUCCGUUAUCCCUCUUCCCCUUCUUAUUCUUCUUCCAUUGCGAAGCAGUAGCCAUCUUUCGAUUCCGCGGCCAACAGGUGUAAGAAGGUAGAUUUCUAAUCCCAUGCCCUCUGCUCCGCCAUGCAUGGACCAACCUCAAAGUCUGUCUCCACGGUGAAAUUUGGGAUAUUGCGAAAUUGUUAGGUCCACGAGAGCUUUCCAUUUUCUGUUGCUUUAUCAUGGAAAGGUGAUGCUCCAGAUUCUCAAAAUGGAGCAGCUGAUAAUCAGCAAAGCACUGUUGUCUUCCCCACGGGCAAUCUAGUAUGAAGGCUUGGACAUUCUACAGGUCGGGGACAUUCACCGUUGACAUAUAGUAUGCUGAUGUGAGCGAGUUGCAGGUGUCCGCUAAAAUUAGUACUAUAUGAUUGGUUCUUUCCAGUGUUCGACAAGUGAGAGAGCAAAAGUGAAGGUGAAAGUUCGCCUAAAUCUGCAUCUGUCGAGUCGGCAACACUUUUGGAGCAAGAAGAGGUUGAAGUCCUUGUCACAAAAGAGCCAGCAGAGGAAGCUACAAACAUGGACACUGAUGAAGCUCCUAGUGAUGCUGCUCCUCCCAGUUCUAGUGAGGCUGAUGUCAAUAUGUGAGAUGCUAAAGGAACUGCUGAUGCUUCUGGGGUUGAGAAUGGUGUUUCUGAAUCCAGGGACAAGCCCACACAAAUGGAAACUGAAACCAAGGUUGAGGCUCCAAAGAAGGUAAAGAAGACAGAUAUACCUAUUCCAGAGCUAGUUUAUGGUGGAAUGCUCCUAGCAGAUGUGCAGAAAGCAGUAGAAAAGGAGUGUGAAAUGGCGUUGCAAGAUUAAGCGAUGGAAGAAACCAAAGACUGGAAAAAUGCUGUUGAAGCUUAUGUCUAUGAUAUGAGAAACAAGAGAGGGAAGAAUUCACAACCAAGUUGCUGGAUUUAGAAGAUUGGUAGUCUGAAGAUGGUGAGGGUGAAACCAAAGGCGUUACAUUGCCAAGCUUGAAGGACUCAAAAAGCAAGGUGAUCCAAUUGAAAAGCGCUACAAGGUGUACACGCAGAGGGGAUCUGUAAUUGAUCAACUUUCUUAUUGUAUUAAUAGUUAUAGAGAGGCAGCAUUGUCCAGUGAUCCUAAAUUUGAUCACAUUGAUGUGACUGAGAAGCAAAAGGUAUUGAAUGAAUGUGUAGAAGCAGAAGCCUGGUUAAGGGAGAAAAAGCAACAGCACGACUCACUACCUAAAUAUGCCACUCCAGUUCUCUUGUCAGCUGAUGAGAGAAAGAAGGCAGAAGCACUUAACAGCCGCACGAGGAAGUUGCAGCUGUCCAAUAUUUUUCUUCAAAAGAUAAAAACACUAGAUAAACUUUCAGCAGGCAAGGAGAAGAUGGCAAAGUUGCAAAAGUGAGAUGGAGAGUGUUCCUAAUAUAGCCUCUGAUCGAGAUAUUGUGAGGAUGACCUUUCAGAGCUUAAACGAACAAAAGAGUCUCCUUCCAAGCAAAGACAUGCGAUUAUCUUAGCGCCAAGCAAAUUUGAAGGAGCACAGGACGUCCUUUUUGUUUCCCUACUAAGAAGUGGCACAUCGAUGUUGCUCUCAAUUAUAGAGGGAAGAGGCUGGGGAAGGUGAGAUCAGGGAAAGGGCACGUGAGGGCCGUAGCCACGUCCUACGUAGAUGUUGAGACUUGGGAUAGAGUUUAAUGGGUCAAGAUUCUCUGAUGUGAUUUCCUUGCUUGAGGAUUUGGCCAGGGGCAGGCUGCCCUUGGAUAACUGCUACGGUGUUCACUGGUAAGCUUGGUUUUCAAUUCUUCGAGUUCCCUUGGAAGGUAAUGUAUAUCAAAGCUCUUAUUCAUCUCUUUAAAGAUUUGAUGGGCAAAUUCAUA